CGAUUCACAAGCUUGCUUUUGGAUCGUUAGCGGCGGACGGGUGAGUAACACGUGGGCAACCUGCCCUGUAGACGGGGAUAACACCGAGAAAUCGGUGCUAAUACCGGAUAACACGAAAGGUCGCAUGGUCUUUCGUUGAAAGACGGCGCAAGCUGUCGCUACAGGAUGGGCCCGCGGCGCAUUAGCUAGUUGGUGAGGUAACGGCUCACCAAGGCGACGAUGCGUAGCCGACCUGAGAGGGUGAUCGGCCACACUGGGACUGAGACACGGCCCAGACUCCUACGGGAGGCAGCAGUAGGGAAUCUUCCGCAAUGGACGAAAGUCUGACGGAGCAACGCCGCGUGAGCGAAGAAGGCCUUCGGGUCGUAAAGCUCUGUUGUUAGGGAAGAACAAGUACCGCAGUCACUGGCGGUACCUUGACGGUACCUAACGAUAAAACCACGGCUAACUACGUGCCAGCAGCCGCGGUAAUACGUAGGUGGCAAGCGUUGUCCGGAAUUAUUGGGCGUAAAGCGCGCGCAGGCGGUUCCUUAAGUCUGAUGUGAAAGCCCACGGCUCUACCGUGGAGGGUCAUUGGAAACUGGGGGACUUGAGUGCAGAAGAGGAGAGCGGACUNCCACGUGUAGCGGUGANAUGCGUAGAGAUAUGGAGGNACACGAGU
rnacentral:rRNA from 1 species